rnacentral:rRNA from 1 species
GAUGAACGCUGGCGGCGUGCUUAACACAUGCAAGUCGAACGAUGAAGCCCGGCUUUCCGUCUGGGGUAGUGGCGAACGGGUGAGUAACACGCGAGUAACCUGCCCUUAACUCUGGGUGAAACCUGGGAAACAGGGUCGAAUACAGGACAGGAGAGCCUUCCGCAUGUUGGGUGUUGUAAAGAUUUAUCGUUUUUCGAUGGCCUCGUGGCCCAUCGGCGUUUUGGUGAGGUAAUGGCGAACCACGGCGCCGACGGGUAGCCGCCCUGAGAGGGUGACCGGGCACACUGGGCCUCAGAGAGGGGCCAGAAUCCAACGGGAGGCAUCGGUGGGAAAUAUUGCGGACAAGGCGAGAGCCUGAUACAGCGACGUCGGGUGAGGAAUGACUGGUUUCGGGGUGUAAACAUCUUUCAGUAGGGAAGAAGACAAAGUGACGGUACCUGAAGAAGAAGCGACGGCUAACUACGUG